rnacentral:lncRNA from 1 species
UCCAGACUUGCCUCAGCUCAGAAUGUGUCAAUCACCUAUGAAGACAGCCAGGCUGGGAAAUUUCACAACCUUACAAUGACUUUAACCCCCCCUGUCUUUAACACAACCUUCUCCUGCCUAGCCCUCCCUCUGUCCCCAUGCUUUCUCUUCCUUUCCCCCAAUCCUCUCCUCUUCCCUAGUGAUAGUUAAAAGACCAGUGAUUUGGAGGCAGAGAAUUUUAUCAAUUACCCAUUGGGUGCCAAGCACUGAGCUUAGCAUACAAACAAAGAUGGGAAGGGAGUGAAUGAUUGUACCAAGUACUUUUUUAAAAAAUGAAUUUAUUUUUAGUUUUCAACAAUCACUUCCAGGAGCUUUUGAGUUUUAAAUUUCCUCCCCCUCCAUCUGUACCUCCCUUCCCCAGAUGGUGUGCAAUCUGAUAUAGGCUAUACAUAUACAUUCCUAUCAAACAUAUUUUCACGUUAGCCAUGCUGUAAGGAAAAAUUUGAACCAGUAGGAAGAACCACAAGAAAGAAGAAAGAAAACAAAACAGAAGAAAAACAAAAGAGUAAAUGGUCGACAUUAAUGGGACUGUGACGUCAGAUGGCACUGAAGGAAUGGGAGCAGACACCAGCCCAUCCUGGCAAUGCUUAGUGACUCAGGCGCCUCAGGGUCCAUUUUUUUCCCUGGACUCCUAACCUUGAUGGCGUCGGAGGCUGUGGUCCUGAUGGGGACUCCCUUCUCUGACCUUACCUUCAUUGGGACUUGUCCCUUUGAAUCUGCAAUCUCAGGGACACUCUGAGGAAGGCUCACAGGAUCCAGUUACACUAUCACGUCUUCGAUCCUUGCAAAUUCCCCAACUCCUUUUCCUCAGAAUAAGAACAGCCAACUCAUGUUGGGAGUUUUCUAACAAGCCUCUAAUUCCUUCUCUCUCUGUCUUUAAGUGUGCACUACGUCACACUACGUUUGUAUUGUAUUUGUCUGUCAGUGUGUGUCUGUGUAUCUGUACCUUAUAAGAUAUAAAACGCAGGCAGCCAGAGACUUCUAAGGGCUGCAGCUAAGGAAACAAUAAACCUGUAGAACUCCUUUCUUUGUGGGUCCA